UACGUAGGGUGCGAGCGUUGUCCGGAAUUAUUGGGCGUAAAGAGCUUGUAGGCGGUCUGUCGCGUCUGCUGUGAAAAUCCGGGGCUCAACCCCGGACUUGCAGUGGGUACGGGCAGACUAGAGUGUGGUAGGGGAGACUGGAAUUCCUGGUGUAGCGGUGAAAUGCGCAGAUAUCAGGAGGAACACCGGUGGCGAAGGCGGGUCUCUGGGCCGAUACUGACGCUGAGGAGCGAAAGCGUGGGGAGCAAACAGG
rnacentral:rRNA from 1 species